AUUGAACGCUGGCGGCAUGCCUUACACAUGCAAGUCGAACGGUAACAGGAGCUUGCUCCGCUGACGAGUGGGAACGGGUGAGUAAUGUAUCGGAACGUACCAUUCAGUGGGGGAUAACGUAGCGAAAGUUACGCUAAUACCGCAUAUUCUGUGAGCAGGAAAGCAGGGGAUCGCAAGACCUUGCGCUGAUUGAGCGGCCGAUAUCAGAUUAGCUAGUUGGUGAGGUAAAGGCUCACCAAGGCGACGAUCUGUAGCGGGUCUGAGAGGAUGAUCCGCCACACUGGAACUGAGACACGGUCCAGACUCCUACGGGAGGCAGCAGUGGGGAAUUUUGGACAAUGGGGGCAACCCUGAUCCAGCCAUGCCGCGUGAGUGAAGAAGGCCUUCGGGUUGUAAAGCUCUUUCGGCCGGGAAAAAAUCGCAUCAGUUAAUACCUGGUGUGGAUGAUGGUACCGGAAUAAGAAGCACCGGCUAACUACGUG
rnacentral:rRNA from 1 species